UACAGAGGUGGCAAGCGUUGUUCGGAAUUACUGGGCGUAAAGGGCGCGUAGGCGGUCUUUUAAGUCUUGUGUGAAAUCCCUCGGCUUAACUGAGGAACUGCACGGGAUACUGGAUGACUUGAGUUCGGGAGAGGGAAGCGGAAUUCCGGGUGUAGCGGUGAAAUGCGUAGAUAUCCGGAGGAACACCGGUGGCGAAGGCGGCUUCCUGGACCGACACUGACGCUGAGGCGCGAAAGCUAGGGGAGCAAACGGG
rnacentral:rRNA from 1 species